rnacentral:rRNA from 1 species
UACGGGGGGAGCAAGCGUUGUUCGGAUUCACUGGGCGUAAAGGGUGCGUAGGUGGCUUGGUAAGUUUGAUGUGAAAUCUCCGGGCUUAACCCGGAAAUGGCAUUGAAUACUAUUGAGCUGGAGGUUUGGAGGGGGGACUGGAAUUCUCGGUGUAGCAGUGAAAUGCGUAGAUAUCGAGAGGAACACCAGUGGCGAAGGCGAGUCCCUGGACAACACCUGACACUGAGGCACGAAAGCUAGGGGAGCAAACAGG